rnacentral:lncRNA from 1 species
GUUGAAUGGUCUUUUAGUCAGCCUUUUUGUUACUGUGACCAAAAGUUCUGACAAGAACAGUUUUAGAGGAGGAAAAGUUUAUUUGGCACUCAUGAUUUUAGAGAUUUCAAUCCAUAUAUGACUAAAUAUGUUGGGCCCUAAGUGAGGCAGAAUAUCAUGAUGGAAUCGCAUGGAGUAGAAUAGCAGCUCAGGACAUAGCGAUCAAGAAGCAGAGAGAGCUUCAUUUAUACAAUAUAAGCCCCUAAGGCACAUCUGCAGUGACUUAAACCAGGUAGCCAACCCUACCCACCUAAAGUUACCUCUAAAUUAAUCCACUGCUUAGGUCACUGCCUCUCUAAUCACUUCACCUCUAGAAAUCCUUGCAUUGUCUCACACAUGAGCUUCUGGGAAUUCUUUGUAUUUAAAGCAUAACAGAUGGCUUUUACUUCCGCUUCUAUAUUAUUGAUUUGAUUUUGGCAGGUCAUGUGGGUCUAGAAAUAUAUCCAUUUCUUCUAGGUUUUCCAAGUGUUGGAAUAUAGGUUUUCAAAACUGUCCCUAAUAAUUCUCUGGAUUUCUGGGAUAUCUGUAGUGAUUUCAUUUUUUUUUAUUUCUAAUUUUAUUAAUUUCAGUCUUUUCUCUUUUUCUUUUAAUUGUUUGGCUCUUUUAUCUUCACAUCAACUCUUCCUAUCACACCCCCUCCCACUCUGAAUGGCCUCCCCCAGGUUGUGCAACUUGUCCACCUGCCUUGAUCCUCUCUUCCCAGGCCUCUACUCCGUCUUCUCUCUGAUUCUGCAUUAAUCUGUAAUACACUGCCCUGAUUUCUAUUUGGUGUUUAAUUGUAAAAUAGACAUAAUAUACAGCUUCAUAUUUUAACCAUUUUAAGUGUACAAUUCAGUGCCAUUCAGUGUGUUCACAUUUUUGUGGAAACUGAAACUCUGUACCCAUUAAACAGUAAGCAUCCAUCCCCACAACCCAGUCCCUGUCGUCUCUCUGCCAGCAUUCUACAUUCUGUCUCUAUGAAUUUAACUCCCUAGAUCCCAUACAAGUGCAAUCAUACAGAAUUUGCCAUUUCAUGACUGGCUUUUCCACUUAGCUAAUGUCCUCAAGAUCAUCCAUGGUGUAGCAAUUGUCAGAAUGUCCUUCCUUUUCAAUGCUAAAUAAUAUUCAUUUCACAUAUAAGACAUAUUGUGAUUAGGUUUUCAUCAGUUGAUAAAUACUGUGGUUACUUGUACCUUUUGGAUUUUGGGAACAAUGCUGCUAUGAAUGUGGGUGUACACAUACCUCUGGAUUUCCCUGUCUUCACAACUUUUGUGUUUAUGUCCAGAUAUACAAUUACUGCAUUAUAUAGAAAGUAUCUUUUCCAUAUUUGGAGGAACCACCAUACCAUUUUCAUAGCAGCUGCUCCAUUGUAUAUGUAGGCAAGCAAUGCACCGUGCUGCAGUUUUCUCUGUAGUUAUGAACUUGUUCAUUCUACAUUCUUUUUUCUAAAUAGUAGUCAUCUUCAUGGGUACAAAGUAGAAUGUCACUGUGCAUUUAUUUUCAUUUCCCUAAUGACUGCUGAUGUUGAGUGUCUCUUUAUGUGCUUAUUGGCUAUUUGUAUAUCUAUCAGACAACUGGCUGUAGUGAUACUUUGCCCAAUUCUGAAUAGAUUCAUCAUUUUUCUUAUUUUAGAGUUUUUGAGAUUCUUUUUUGUUUGCUUGUUUUAUGGAGCUGGGAUCAAUCUUAGGCCCUUGUACAUGUUAGGCAGGUGUUCUAUAGCUGAGCUAACCCCAACCCAAGAUACAUUGAUAUAUUUGAAUGUUCAUCUCUUAUUAGAUAUAUGACUUGCAGAUAUUUUCUCCCAUUUCACACGUCACCAUUUCUGUGGGUGACCUUUGGUACAUAGAUGUUUUUAUGUUUUCAUUUUGAUGAGUCUAAUUUAUCAAUUUUUUCUCUACUGUGUGCUUUUGGCACCAUAUGGAAAAUGUGGUUAAAUCCUUUGUUUUGAAGAUUAUCAUAUAUUAUACAUACUUUUUAUUUGUUUUAUUUUUGUACCAUGAGGUGAACCCAGGUUCUCUCACAUUCUAGUAUGUGGUCCCCACUGAGCUACCCUCAGGCCUUUUAAAUUUUUAUUUUGAGAAAGGGUCUUGCUAAGUUGUCCAGGUUGGCUUUUAACUUCCACUCAUCUGCUUAAGUUUCCUGAGUAUCUGGGAUUACAGGCACAUAUCACAAUAUGUACCAGUCAGUGUGUUUUCUUAUAAGAAUGUUUGGUUUUAUAGUCUGCAUUUUUUUUCACUUUGAGUUUGUGUGUGUGGUGUGUGUGUAUGUGUGUGUGCGCACACACACAUGAGGGCACACACUCAGAGUAUUGGAAUGCAGGCAUUUGCAGAAGCUAGGCAAGAACUCUAUCAUUGCGCUACAUCCCCAGACCUGUGUUAAUUUCUAUACAUGAGUAACUAACUAAAGGAUCCAUCUUCAUUGUUUGUGAAAAUCCAAAUUUUCUAGCACAUCUAUUGGUGAGAUACAAUGUGUUUGUGGGGGGCUAUGGAAAAAUAGAGUUACUUUGGAUUAGCUGGAGGCAAGUGACAUACUCAUGAUGGCUGUCAGUCAAAUUAUAGUGGGACAAAAAUCUUAGUGUAGUUUUGAUUUGCAUUUCCAUAAUUUCUAAUAAUGCUUUCAUGUAUUUGUUGGCCAUUUGUAUUUUUUGAUAAGUUUAGUUCAUUUGCCCAUUUAAUAAUUGGAUUAUUAUAUAUAUAUUGAAAGUAUCUUUCUAUGUAUAUAUAUAUUAUAUAUAGAAUUAUAUAUAGAAAGUAUAUUAUAUUAUAUAUAGAAAUUUCUAUAUUAUUUAUGGAAAGUAUCUUUUCCAUAUUUGGAGGAACCACCAUACCAUUUUCAUAGCAGCUGCUCCAUUGUAUAUAUAGGCAAGAGGGUUUCAACCUCUCCCCUUGAACACCCACCUGUACCCUUGAGGGGAAGGGAGCGGGUAUGGAGAAAGAAUGAUAGUAGAAUGAAUCGGACAUUAUUACCCAUGUGCAUAUAUGAUUACACGACCGGUAUAACUCUACAUCAUAUACAACCAAAGCAAUGAGAAGCUAUAUAUACUCCAUAUAUGUAUGAUGGGUCAAAAUACAUUCUACUGUCACAUAUAACUAAUUAGAACAAAUUAAAUAAAUAAGUAAAUAAAUAAAUACAUAAAUAAAUAAAUAAAUAAAUAAAUACAUGAAGAAAAAAGAAAAGCUACAUCAGGUCUUUAGAAACACUGCCACCUGCUUUUUCUCACGAGAUGCUACUAGUACAAUUUAAGUCCCCCACUUGAGGCUUCCAGAUGCUGAUCAUUUACUUUGGACCAAGCCCACUGUUUCACUUCCCUUUAGGGUACAACCCCACUCAACACUUUGGGGCCACAACCUUCACACUCACUUUGACCCCCUGUCUGCCUCACCUUAUCCAUGAGAAGUCUGCACAUAGACAGCACACACACCCUCUGGGAACCUGCCCUGCCUGGGCUCCACUUCAGUGACCAUAGGUCCACCUACCCUCUGCCCUUCCUGUGCCCUCUCUGCCCUCUGACAAGCCCUGCCAUGCACCUCUGCCCCUCCCACACCUCCCUUGCCUCUGCAGGCCAACCUCUCCCCUUGAACACCCACCUGUACCCUUAAGAACCCAUGCCUAUGUCUUGGGCCCUGGCCAACUUGCCUGCCCAUCUCCAUUUCCCCUUUCUCCGUUCCUCACUUCCCCUCUCCUUCCUCUCUACUUUCCUGUCUUCUUUGUAUUGGGAACCUUUCUUCUGUCCCUUUGUCUGUGUACAUUUGCUUCCUCCUCAGGUGCUCAGGACAGCAGAGCCUUUGUGGUGCGCAUUGGGGAGCACUUGUUCACAGGUAGAAGGGUCAUCUGUUGCUUCCUCUUCCACAGGGACCCACAGUCUUCACUAUAACCUCACAGUGAGGUCCCAAGGUGGAUCAGUGCAAUCAAGGUCCUGUGCCAAGGGUUAUUGGGACCAUCAGCUCUUCCUUCAUUUUGAUAGUGACAAAAAAGAAAGUGUAAAGCCCCAGGGGCCAUGGGCAGAAAAACCUUUGGGAACUGAAAAUUGGGACACAGAGAUCCAAGAGUUGGCAGAGCACCAAAAGAAUCUAAAAGCAACCCUGGCAGAUAUCAAUGCCUGGCAAGAGCAGAAAGGAG